GUGCAGCACAAGAAGAAGAAAAAAAAAAAAGGAGUCACUCAGGAGCAGCUCUGUCAGCUAUGAAGGUGAUGAUGGUCAUGGCCCUGCUGACCACCACAAGUCAUUGCAUUAACAUCAACGGUAGCAUUGUCAGCCGCGGCGGCUACUUCUCGUCUUCGAGGUGUAACGGUCUCACCGGCACAGCAUGUCGUAUUGCAUACUCCGAGUUGGACUUUGACUUGGAGUUCAUGUUGGGCUCGGAAUUCGGAAUAAGGCUCCUCGCGGAUGGCGGUUCCUACCACCCCACCGAUACAUCAAGAGAAAGGGGACGCUCUGCGUCCUGCAACCGAUUUGGUAAGGACGAUCCCUGCCAUGGUCGGGAAAACAAAAACAUCCCACCAGGUUGCAAGGACCCCACCGAUAGGUCUUGCAACCGCCAUAAUUAG
rnacentral:lncRNA from 1 species